CAGUAGCCACGGUAAUACGUAGGGUGCAAGCGUUAAUCGGAAUUACUGGGCGUAAAGCGUGCGCAGGCGGUUUUGUAAGACAGAGGUGAAAUCCCCGGGCUCAACCUGGGAACUGCCUUUGUGACUGCAAGGCUAGAGUACGGCAGAGGGGGAUGGAAUUCCGCGUGUAGCAGUGAAAUGCGUAGAUAUGCGGAGGAACACCGAUGGCGAAGGCAAUCCCCUGGGCCUGUACUGACGCUUAUGCACGAAAGCGUGGGGAGCAAACAGGAUUAGAUACCCCUGUAGUCCCUGUCUCUUAUAC
rnacentral:rRNA from 1 species